UGGGGAAUAUUGGACAAUGGGCGAAAGCCUGAUCCAGCCAUGCCGCGUGUGUGAAGAAGGUCUUCGGAUUGUAAAGCACUUUAAGUUGGGAGGAAGGGCAGUAAGCGAAUACCUUGCUGUUUUGACGUUACCGACAGAAUAAGCACCGGCUAACUCUGUGCCAGCAGCCGCGGUAAUACAGAGGGUGCAAGCGUUAAUCGGAAUUACUGGGCGUAAAGCGCGCGUAGGUGGUUCGUUAAGUUGAAUGUGAAAGCCCCGGGCUCAACCUGGGAACUGCAUGCAAAACUGGCGAGCUAGAGUAGGGCAGAGGGUGGUGGAAUUUCCUGUGUAGCAGUGAAAUGCGUAGAUAUAGGAAGGAACACCAGUGGCGAAGGCGACCACCUGGGCUUAUACUGACACUGAGGUGCGAAAGCGUGGGGAGCAAACAGG
rnacentral:rRNA from 1 species